AGGGACCAUGAAGGGAUGUGGAGAGUGAAGAUUUGUCCGCUACUGGCCAGCUAUCAGCUACUCACGCUACUUCAGAAUUCUGCACUCUGACUUUCACGAGCAUAGUGUGCUGUGUUUCCUAUUUAGACACUCAGUGCACCAGGACUGUAUGUUGAAGUCUACCAUCUGACCGACUCUCAUCUCUGCUAACGUUUGCCUUAUACAUGUUGAGGUGAUGUUAACUGAUGCAGGAACGUGUAGAAUUCUAUCUCCCUGUUGGGUUUACUCUGGCAA